AUGAUUAAAAUUAGACAAGCAUAUGUCUGAAUCAUAUUGUGUUGAGUCUGACUAAUCUUCUCUAUGAGGCCAUUUUGUUAGUACUGUUUUCUUACUUCUGAAAUGGGUUGGGCUUUUGGACCUCUUCCAGUUUUGAGGAACUAAUAUGCUUGAAAUUGGAACAAUUUGUUUCAUGAAAAUUUGAUUGGUUACCCACUUAUUUUUAAUGUUUUGGCCUUCUUAUUCUGAACAGAUGAAAAAACCAUGUGGUCGGUUGAAUUUUGUGGUUUUGUUUGCCAAGUUUCUUUCUUCUAUGUCAAGAUUAACAAAACAGUGUCACAUGAUGAUUUUUAAUCAUAGUUCAAAUGAUCAAUAUAUGAUUCAAAACACGUUUCGCCUUUUUCUGAUGACUCUGUUUUAAUUCUCUUAUUUUUAGAUAAUUUUGAUUUCGUUAUAUGUUGGUUUUAUUUGUGAUACACUAGUGAUAUUCUGUUUUGUGAUGCUAUAUAGCAAUCAUGUUUAUUACUCUUUUCAAUUUCUACUAAAUAUACUUAGGUUCCAUUUUUAAUUUGGCAACAGAUUUUGUUUGUGGUGGUUAACUUUUUGUUGUCAAAUGUUUAGUUAUUUGUAAGUGUGAAAAACCCUGCCUUUCUGACAUUUCUGAUAUAUCAGCUCCCCAUUUCUUGAGCUUCUCCAAAAAUAAUAAAAUCUUAUUUUCCUGCGUUUGGUUUAAAACCCAGUUGAAUUUGUUUUACCAGGUAAAACCUUUUUGGUCACUGGACCACAAAUGUUUUAGCCUGAAAAGUCUUUUGGUAUUUGAACACUAGGUCCUGUGAAGUAGCAUGCCCAGAUUCCGUGAGAUAAACCCUCCCAAAAGUGCCCCCUCCAACCCAACCCCUGGCCCGCCUGCCUUUAUAUAAUUACAAUCAAAUGCAACCUCCUCCUCUACUGCUCUCUCCUUGUUUGUGGGUAGGUGUGUCACGUGUGUGAGUGUGCCUGCGCGCUCUUGUAUAUCUAUAGGAAGUUGUGCAUAGAGAAUCUGCCUUUCUUGGUUGCUGAAAUUUACUCGGUAGUAAUUUAGUACAUUCAUAUGAAUAGAUGCGGAUUUCUAUGUGAUAUUGUCUAUCCUAACAACAUAUGAGGGGACUGUGAUGACUAACAUGUGAUUGGUCUCGUUCGUCGUAAUGGCAGAGAUGCCUUGCCGACCAUCCUGAUAUAUCACCACCCAUAAAUUGGGUCCCCCACAAGUCUCAACUCUUGAGAAAAACGAAGUUCUCUGUUUUGAAUAUCUAUGCCUUAGAAUGUAUCUGUGCUGUCUAUACUUUGUGAGAAUUUUUUGUUUUUUUGUUUUGCUUUUACAUUGGCUAAUGAUUAAAUAUGAUAGGCAUGUUUGAAUUAAAGGUGCUGUAUUGUGAGAGAAUGACUUGUUUCGUAAAGCGGGAAACAAGUACUUAAAAAUUGUGAGAGAAUGACUUGUUUCGUAAAACGGGAAACAAGUACUUAAAAAAUAAGAACUUUAGCAUAAUGCGGCCUUAGUCUGUGUGUGCAUAUGGCCGGUCCAGGACACCUGAGGUAUCAAAAGAAAAAUUAUUUUAUUGACUUACUAAUCUUGUCUAUGAGGCCAAUUUGUUAGUGCUCUUUUUCUUUAUGAUUGUUCCCCUUAAAUGGGUUGGUUUCCGAUUCACUCCUGUAUACUCUCAGUUGGCUCAAUUUGGUUCUUGAAAAUUGGACGGGAUCUCUGCCCUCUCUAGUUUUUGAUAUUUUUCAGUGCCAUUGAUGAAGAGAUUAUAUUGUAUAAUUUAUGACUAGUCAUGAUUACAACAAAACUACUGCCUUCCUUCUGAGGCUCUCUUUUUUGUUUUGCAUACAUUGUUUUCCCUUUUUGAUUUCUGGCUUUUCUUGUCAACUGUGGAAAUUGGAUUCUUAUGUUUUUUCUGUUCUGCGUAUCUUUCUAUGUUCAAAUUUCCAGUUAGGGUCGCAUGAUGAUUUUACGCAUAGUUCAAAUGAUCGUGUAUACUACUAUAUGAUUAAACAUUCGAAGGUCUUUUGCUCCUGUUCGGCGACCUCGGCUCAGGUAAAUUGCUCAACUGUGACUGGGCUUCAACUUGGAUCUGGAAAACUCACCUCUUGUUUUGCUUACAGAAAAAAAAAAAACUUGAAAAAAAGAGGCUACUUUGCCAAGGUGAUCAAAUUCUUCUUGAUUUUCCUGUUGCCUAUAUUGUACUUGGCCUUACUUGGGAUGAUUUGUGUUGAUGUCGUUCUUAAAUACUGAUGCCAACAUUACCACAUGGGCCGAAAUCCUUUUAAGUCAACGACGGAAAAAAAAGACAUGAAUUUUUUUUUUUCUAAAGUAUUGAUUUCAACUUGCUUCUGUUGGUUUUGAUUAGUAAUUGGUGUCCCUUGGAUUUCAACUUGCUUCUAUUGGUUUUGAUUAGUAAUUGGUGUCUACUUGUUGAGUUUUUCCCUUGGAUUUUGCCACUGAUUCUUGUUUUGGGCACCACCUGUUUGACAAAAUCUCACAUGUUGUGGUAAUUUGUUCGGGGGUAGACUUGAUCAAUAAGAAGCCCAAUGAAGAUUCCAAAGGCGCAAAGAUUAUCUAAUCAUGGUUUUGGAUGAAGUUUUUCCAACAAUGAUAACAGUAACAUGCAGAUGGUAUAAACUGGGGUGUCGAAAAUGUGAAGAAAACAGAGCAAGGUUUUUGUUCAAGUAAGAAUAUCUUCAAGUAGGAAGCAAAAAGGAAUGUUGGGUUGUUAUUGAUGCUACUCUGUUCCCUAUUUUUAUUGGUUAAUGGUGGUGUAUGACUCCUAACAUGCCUUUAUGCUUA